rnacentral:rRNA from 1 species
CAAGUCGAACGCGAAAGUGGAGCAAUCCAUGAGUAGAGUGGCGAACGGGUGAAUAACACGUGGGUGACCUGCCUUCGAGUGGGGGAUAACAUCCCGAAAGGGGUGCUAAUACCGCAUGACAUCCUGCCUUUGAACAGGCGGACAUUAAAGCCGGGGAUAGCAAGACCUGGCGCUCGGAGAGGGGCCCGCGUCCGAUUAGCUAGUUGGUGGGGUAACGGCUCACCAAGGCAACGAUCGGUAGCCGGCCUGAGAGGGCGGACGGCCACACUGGGACUGAGACACGGCCCAGACUCCUACGGGAGGCAGCAGUGGGGAAUUGUUCGCAAUGGGCGCAAGCCUGACGACGCAACGCCGCGUGGAGGAUGAAGAUCUUCGGGUCGUAAACUCCUUUCGAUCGGGACGAAUGAUCGGUGACCUAAUACGUCAUCGGAAUGACGGUACCGAGAGAAGAAGCCCCGGCUAACUCCGUGCCAGCAGCCGCGGUAAUACGGGGGGGGCAAGCGUUGUUCGGAAUUACUGGGCGUAAAGGGCGCGUAGGCGGCCUUCUAAGUCGGACGUGAAAUCCCUCGGCUUAACCGAGGAACUGCGUCCGAUACUGAAAGGCUUGAAUCCGGGAGAGGGAUGUGGAAUUCCAGGUGUAGCGGUGAAAUGCGUAGAUAUCUGGAGGAACACCGGUGGCGAAGGCGGCAUCCUGGACCGGCAUUGACGCUGAGGCGCGAAAGCUAGGGGAGCAAACGGGAUUAGAUACCCCGGUAGUCCUAGCCCUAAACGAUGAGUGCUUGGUGUGGCGGGUAUCGAUCCCUGCC